GAACGCACAUUGCGCCCCUUGGUAUUCCGGGGGGCAUGCCUGUUCGAGCGUCAUUUCAACCCCUCAAGCUCUGCUUGGUCUUGGGCCCUGCCGGCGACGGCUGGCCUUAAAACUAGUGGCGGUGCCAUCGAGCUCUACGCGUAGUAACUUCUCUCGCUUCUGAGUCUCCGGUGGACGCUGGCCAGCAACCCCCCCUCUCUGUGGUUGACCUCGGAUCAGGUAGGGAUACCCGCUGAACUUAAG
rnacentral:misc_RNA from 1 species